CCAAUAGCGUAUAUUAAAGUUGUUGCAGUUAAAAAGCUCGUAGUUGAAUUUCGGGAUUGGCGCAUCGGUCGUGCCUCACGGGGUAUGAACUGGUGCAGUCAAUUUCUCACCUUCUGGAGAACCGCGAUGUCCUUAAUUGGAUGCCGCGGGGAACCAGGACCUUUACUUUGAAAAAAUUAGAGUGUUUAAAGCAGGCAUUUUUGCUUGAAUACAUUAGCAUGGAAUAAUAAAAUAGGACGGCAUGGUUCUAUUUUGUUGGUUUCUAGGACAACCGUAAUGAUUAAUAGGGAUAGUUGGGGGCAUUAGUAUUCAAUUGUCAGUGGUGAAAUUCUUGGAUUUAUUGAAGACUAACUACUGCGAAAGCAUUUGCCAAGGAUGUUUUCAUUAAUCAAGAACGAAAGUUAGGGGAUCGAAGACGAUCAGAUACCGUCGUAGUCUUAACCAUAAACUAUGCCGACUAGGAAUCAGACGAUGUUAAUUUUUUAAUGACUCGUUUGGCACCUUACG
rnacentral:rRNA from 1 species